UGGGGAAUUUUGGACAAUGGGCGAAAGCCUGAUCCAGCAAUGCCGCGUGUGUGAAGAAGGCCUUCGGGUUGUAAAGCACUUUUGUCCGGAAAGAAAUGGCUCUGGUUAAUACCUGGGGUCGAUGACGGUACCGGAAGAAUAAGGACCGGCUAACUACGUGCCAGCAGCCGCGGUAAUACGUAGGGUCCAAGCGUUAAUCGGAAUUACUGGGCGUAAAGCGUGCGCAGGCGGUUGUGCAAGACCGAUGUGAAAUCCCCGAGCUUAACUUGGGAAUUGCAUUAGUGACUGCACGGCUAGAGUGUGUCAGAGGGGGGUAGAAUUCCACGUGUAGCAGUGAAAUGCGUAGAGAUGUGGAGGAAUACCGAUGGCGAAGGCAGCCCCCUGGGAUAACACUGACGCUCAUGCACGAAAGCGUGGGGAGCAAACAGGAUUAGAUACCCUGGUAGUCCACGCCCUAAACGAUGUCAACUAGUUGUUGGGAUUCAUUUCCUUAGUAACGUAGCUAACGCGUGAAGUUGACCGCCUGGGGAGUACGGUCGC
rnacentral:rRNA from 1 species